GAUUCCUUUAAAUCCAGUCCUGAGAGGCUGGCAAGGCAUAGAACGCUGUUUCCCCUGCUCAAAAAGGGAGAAGACUUCAGCAGCUUCUUGUCUCGCCAGCCACAACGGCCGCGCGAAGGCAAGAAGCUUUUUCUU
rfam:Brevibacillus choshinensis strain DSM 8552 scaffold3, whole genome shotgun sequence.